UCAAAAUUUCUUCCAUGGGACGCCUGUAAGGUUCAAUUUAUCACAUUUGACAAAGAUGAAACACUUAUAAAGUCCAUAGAUAUAUUGCAAACUUGAAAUAACAGCAUUUAAAUUAAAAAGAAAAUGCAAAGAUAAAACCAUGCAUCAGCAAUCCCCUACAUGAAUUUGCACUUUGCACCAAAGGGAAAAAUGCAAUAAUGCAUGUAAUUAGGCCACAAAGUAAAUUAGCAACACAAUUGUUGUAUGUUUCUAAUGAUGAUCUAAAAGUUGAUAAUAAACAGAUGCUGAGAGAGAGAGA
rnacentral:misc_RNA from 1 species